UGGUAUAAUAAAUAAAACCUGCUACCUGCGAUUUCAUUGUCACUGUUUCCCUUGGCCUUUCAACAGUGCGCGCUGUGGCUCCGUGCAGUGAGUAGAAGCUGAAGGGAAGACUUAGUUGUUUUUCCUGACACACAAAUCUGGUGAAAUGCGGCCCGCGGUGCUGGUGUCGGCGGUGAUGGUGGUGGUUCUGCUGAUGGCCCGCCCCCUUACGUCGACCAUAAUUAACCCUCGCCCUGACAAUUGCCAAGUGGGUCUUGUACAAGUCUGCGGUACUGAUUUGGUGACCUAUGACUUCUGCUACUUCAUCGCUGUGCUUGAACGCAACCCUGAUAUCAAGAUUCUGCACAUUGGCAAAUGCACACCAGAAGACAAUAAUGGAUAAGAAAAGAAUUCAGAGAGGGCUUCAAAGGUUCUGUUUUCGCGGUGUAUAAGACUCUAUAGACACCUUCAGAUUUUAAUGGAAUGAUUAGAUCCUUUUGUGUGUGAUCAGCAGAGCCCUUAUAGUAAAAUCCUUACUAAAUUGUGGAAGAGACAAUUUUUGUUAUUUCAUAUUUCCAUCACCACUUACAGAAAUAAAGGUACACGAGAUACUUA